UACGUAGGGUGCAAGCGUUGUCCGGAAUUAUUGGGCGUAAAGAGCUCGUAGGCGGUCUGUUGCGUCGGCUGUGAAAACCCGGGGCUCAACUCCGGGCCUGCAGCCGAUACGGGCAGACUAGAGUUCGGCAGGGGAGACUGGAAUUCCUGGUGUAGCGGUGAAAUGCGCAGAUAUCAGGAGGAACACCGGUGGCGAAGGCGGGUCUCUGGGCCGUAACUGACGCUGAGGAGCGAAAGCGUGGGGAGCGAACAGG
rnacentral:rRNA from 1 species